rnacentral:misc_RNA from 1 species
UAAUAAGUGUUUUAUGGCACUUUUUAAAUCCAUAUCCACCUUGUGUGCAAUGUCAGUCGAUCUUCUUCAUGGAGAUCGACUAAACAUCAACCUUUAUCUUUUAACUCUUUGUCUGAAAAAUAUUAUGAAUAAACAAUUCAAAAUA